rnacentral:tRNA from 2 species
CAGGUAUAGUUUAGUGGUAAAACUUUUGCUUCCCAAGCAAGUGAUACGGGUCCGAUUCCCGUUACCUG